rnacentral:rRNA from 1 species
UGUUGCUUCGGCGGGCCCGCCAGCGUUGCUGGCCGCCGGGGGGCGACUCGCCCCCGGGCCCGUGCCCGCCGGAGACCCCAACAU